AAGACCUUGCGCUUUUGGAGCGGCCGAUGCCUGAUUAGCUUGUUGGUAAGGUAAAAGCUUACCAAGGCUUCGAUCAGUAGCUGGUCUGAGAGGACGGCCAGCCACACUGGGACUGAGACACGGCCCAGACUCCUACGGGAGGCAGCAGUGGGGAAUUUUGGACAAUGGGGGCAACCCUGAUCCAGCCAUGCCGCGUGAGUGAAGAAGGCCUUCGGGUUGUAAAGCUCUUUCAGCCGGAACGAAACGGUUACGGUUAAUACCCGUGAUUACUGACGGUACCGGAAGAAGAAGCACCGGCUAACUACGUGCCAGCAGCCGCGGUAAUACGUAGGGUGCGAGCGUUAAUCAGAAUUACUGGGCGUAAAGCGUGCGCAGGUGGUUUUGUAAGUCAGAUGUGAAAGCCCCGGGCUCAACCUGGGAACU
rnacentral:rRNA from 1 species